rnacentral:rRNA from 1 species
AGGUAAGCUACUAAGAGCGAAUGGUGGAUGCCUUGACUGGUAAAGGCGAUGAAGGACGUACUAGACUGCGAUAAGCUACGGGGAGCUGUCAAGAAGCUUUGAUCCGUAGAUUUCCGAAUGGGGCAACCCAAUGUAUAGAGAUAUACAUUACCUAUAUAGGAGCGAACGAGGGGAAUUGAAACAUCUUAGUACCCUCAGGAAAAGAAAUCAAUAGAGAUUGCGUCAGUAGCGGCGAGCGAAAGCGCAAGAGGGCAAACCCAGUGCUUGCACUGGGGGUUGUAGGACUGCAAUGUGCAAGAGGUGAGUUUAGCAGAACAUUCUGGAAAGUAUAGCCAUAGAGGGUGAUAGUCCCGUAUGCGAAAAACAAACCUUAGCUAGCAGUAUCCUGAGUAGGGCGGGACACGAGAAAUCCUGUCUGAAGCUGGGUCGACCACGAUCCAACCCUAAAUACUAAUACCAGAUCGAUAGUGCACAAGUACCGUGAGGGAAAGGUGAAAAGAACUGAGGUGAUCAGAGUGAAAUAGAACCUGAAACCAUUUGCUUACAAUCAUUCAGAGCCCUAUGUAGCAAUACAGGGUGAUGGACUGCCUUUUGCAUAAUGAGCCUGCGAGUUGUGGUGUCUGGCAAGGUUAAGCAAACGCGAAGCCGUAGCGAAAGCGAGUCUGAAUAGGGCGCUUAGUCAGAUGCUGCAGACCCGAAACGAAGUGAUCUAUCCAUGAGCAAGUUGAAGCUAGUGUAAGAACUAGUGGAGGACUGAACCCAUAGGCGUUGAAAAGCCCCGGGAUGACUUGUGGAUAGGGGUGAAAGGCCAAUCAAACUUCGUGAUAGCUGGUUCUCUCCGAAAUAUAUUUAGGUAUAGCGUUGUGUCGUAAUAUAAGGGGGUAGAGCACUGAAUGGGCUAGGGCAUACACCAAUGUACCAAACCCUAUCAAACUCCGAAUACCUUAUAUGUAAUCACAGCAGUCAGGCGGCGAGUGAUAAAAUCCGUCGUCAAGAGGGAAACAACCCAGACUACCAGCUAAGGUCCCUAAAUCUUACUUAAGUGGAAAACGAUGUGAAGUUACUUAAACAACCAGGAGGUUGGCUUAGAAGCAGCCAUCCUUUAAAGAAAGCGUAAUAGCUCACUGGUCUAGUGAUUUUGCGCGGAAAAUAUAACGGGGCUAAAGUAAGUACCGAAGCUGUAGACUUAGUUUACUAAGUGGUAGGAGAGCGUUCUAUUUGCGUCGAAGGUAUACCGGUAAGGAGUGCUGGAGCGAAUAGAAGUGAGCAUGCAGGCAUGAGUAGCGAUAAUUAAUGUGAGAAUCAUUAACGCCGUAAACCCAAGGUUUCCUACGCGAUGCUCGUCAUCGUAGGGUUAGUCGGGUCCUAAGUCGAGUCCGAAAGGGGUAGACGAUGGCAAAUUGGUUAAUAUUCCAAUACCAACAUUAGUGUGCGAUGGAAGGACGCUUAGGGCUAAGGGGGCUAGCGGAUGGAAGUGCUAGUCUAAGGUCGUAGGAGGUUAUACAGGCAAAUCCGUAUAACAAUACUCCGAGAACUGAAAGGCUUUUUGAAGUCUUCGGAUGGAUAGAAGAACCCCUGAUGCCAUCGAGCCAAGAAAAGUUUCUAAGUUUAGCUAAUGUUGCCCGUACCGUAAACCGACACAGGUGGGUGGGAUGAGUAUUCUAAGGCGCGUGGAAGAACUCUCUUUAAGGAACUCUGCAAAAUAGCACCGUAUCUUCGGUAUAAGGUGUGGUUCGCUUCGUAUUAGGAUUUACUCCGAAAGCGAAGAAACUUACAACAAAGAGUCCCUCCCGACUGUUUACCAAAAACACAGCACUCUGCUAACUCGUAAGAGGAUGUAUAGG